GUGAGGAAUUUUCCGCAAUGGGCGAAAGCCUGACGGAGCAAUGCCGCGUGAAGGAUGAAGGCCUAUGGGUUGUAAACUUCUUUUCUCAGAAAAGAAUUAUGACGGUAUCUGAGGAAUAAGCAUCGGCUAACUCUGUGCCAGCAGCCGCGGUAAGACAGAGGAUGCGAGCGUUAUCCGGAAUGAUUGGGCGUAAAGCGUCUGUAGGUUGUUUAAAAAGUAUUCUGUCAAAGAUUAGGGCUUAACCCUAGAUAGGCAGAAUAAACUUUUAAGCUAGAGUUUGGUAGAGGCAGAGGGAAUUCCCGGUGGAGCGGUGAAAUGCGUAGAUAUCGGGAGGAACACCAAAGGCGAAGGCACUCUGCUGGGCCAAUACUAACACUGAGAGACGAAAGCGAGGGGAGCAAAUGGGAUUAGAUACCCCGGUAGUCC
rnacentral:rRNA from 1 species